ensembl:lncRNA
CCUGUACAACACAGAUAGCUAGGUUAACCCAUUCCCCCUAUACAACACAGAUAGCUAGGUUAACCCAUUCCCCCUAUACAACACAGAUAGCUAGGUUAACCCAUUCCCCCUAUACAACACAGAUAGCUAGGUUAACCCAUUCCCCCUAUACAACACAGAUAGCUAGGUUAACCCAUUCCUAGUUGAGUGGAGGAUUCAAAUGAAGCUUAGACAAAGCGUUUCACUGUAACCUGGAGAGAUGUCAAUACAGUUAAAAGAAAUCCUCCAUAAAUGUUCUGUAGACAGGGGGCGGAGCCACAUACUGGGG